AUACUGCUCCCUCCGUCCGAAAAAGCUUGUCCCUCAAAAGGAUGUAUCUAACAUCAAGUUAGUGCUAUAUACAUCCACUUGGGAGACAAGCUUCGGACAAGUUUUUUCGGACGGAGGGAGUAUGAA
rfam:Triticum aestivum genome assembly, contig: Triticum_aestivum_CS42_TGACv1_scaffold_433145_5DL